rfam:Gongylonema pulchrum genome assembly, scaffold: GPTH_contig0001250
GUAGGCUAUGGUGAUAUGACGCCGCAUACAGCGCUCGGUCGCCUAGUGGGCAGUCUGUGCGCAAUAAUGGGUGUGCUGACCAUUGCGCUUCCCGUCCCCGUCAUCGUCAGCAAC